CUCUGCUGCACGACCCUGGUCCUCCGUGUGAAGCGGUGCACCUGGUGCCCACUCGCGGGUGUAAGCCGUGUGCGUGAGGAGGUCCUCAAAGAGGGCAGCGGGCUGUUCCCAGAUCUCCUGGUGAGGGAGACGGAGGCCGUCAUCCACAAGCACCGCUCGGCCACCUACUGCGAGCAGCUCCUGCAGCAUGUGCAGGCCGUGCCAGCCACACAGUGACCACGCUGGUUUCAGCCACGGCACACCCUUGUCCCCACCUGAGCCAGAGUUUGUGGCCUUUAAAUCUCAUAAACAAGGCACCUCUGUGCCAGCAGUGAGACUGUGACAGCAAGAAUGUACUCCUCAGGACACCUGCCCACUCUUUCCCUGGAAUAACAGCCUCUGAGUGGAUUCUGCAUGUUAUGUGAUUUGUUCUGUUCAUCGAGAGGGCUCCCAAACAUCUGCAGCUGAUUUGAAAUUAAAAGUAAGUCGCAGCCGCUCCUCCCGCAGCCACUUCAGCAGCAUCUUAGAUUUUAAGCCUCACGUGCGCAGCUGGUUCAUGAACUAUUGGCUGCAUCCUGCUUAGGUGCCCACCAAGAAGGUUUUUACCUACUUAACAAAAAAGAAAGAAGCCAAAGUGAUUAGAAAGAAAUGAAAUCUCUUUUUGGGUUCUGUCUACUGAAAUUUAAUAUCUCAGUGAACAGACUAAAAGGAAUUUAGAAUCCUAACAACUUAUCAGAUUUCUCCUGUUUUAAAUAUACUGGGACUUUAAAGGUUAUAUGUCCGGUCACCGUAUGUUUUAAGUCGGUGUUAAUGCUAACAGUGUUGAAAACAAUAUUUCAUGAGAUCUAAUUGUGGUUGCCCCUAUAGGUAGCAGGAAAGUAAAGUUGCAUUUCCCUCUCGCACAUUCUACACCCAAGUGCCUAAAAGAUCUCAUUGUAAGUGGGUAGUGUUACCGGAAGCCAUUGUGUUCACACGGGGGAAAUGCCGUAUAUAUUUU
rnacentral:lncRNA from 10 species